GCCUGGGUGGCUCAGUCGGUUGAGCGUCUGACUUCGGCUCAGGUCAUGAUCUCAGGGUUCGUGGGAUUGAGCCCCACGUCGGGCU
rnacentral:tRNA from 1 species